rnacentral:rRNA from 1 species
UACGUAGGGGGCUAGCGUUGUCCGGAAUUAUUGGGCGUAAAGAGCGUGUAGGCGGUCCGGUAAGUCGGCUGUGAAAGUCCAGGGCUCAACCCCGGAACUGCCUUUAAAACUGUUGGUCUGGAGGUCGAGAGAGGUGAGUGGAAUUCCGAGUGUAGAGGUGAAAUUCGUAGAUAUUCGGAGGAACACCAGUGGCGAAGGCGGCUCACUGGCUCGAUACUGACGCUGAGGUGCGAAAGCGUGGGGAGCAAACAGG